rnacentral:rRNA from 1 species
AUUGAACGCUGGCGGCAGGCCUAACACAUGCAAGUCGAACGGUAGCACAGAGAGCUUGCUCUCGGGUGACGAGUGGCGGACGGGUGAGUAACGUCUGGGAAACUGCCCGAUGGAGGGGGAUAACUACUGGAAACGGUAGCUAAUACCGCAUAACGUCGCAAGACCAAAGUGGGGGACCUUCGGGCCUCACACCAUCGGAUGUGCCCAGAUGGGAUUAGCUAGUAGGUGGGGUAAUGGCUCACCUAGGCGACGAUCCCUAGCUGGUCUGAGAGGAUGACCAGCCACACUGGAACUGAGACACGGUCCAGACUCCUACGGGAGGCAGCAGUGGGGAAUAUUGCACAAUGGGCGCAAGCCUGAUGCAGCCAUGCCGCGUGCAUGAAGAAGGCCUUCGGGUUGUAAAGUACUUUCAGCGGGGAGGAAGGCGGUGAAGUUAAUAACUUCACCGAUUGACGUUACCCGCAGAAGAAGCACCGACUAACUCCGUGCCAGCCGCCGCUGUAA